rnacentral:tRNA from 1 species
GGGGGUAUAGCAGAAUUGGUAUAUGCGGUCGGUUCAGGGCCGAUGUCGAAAUGAAACUUCAUUGUGGGUUCGAGUCCCAUUACCCCUA